GUCGUUUACAUUUCUUUUGUUCUUUUUUUUUCCUUUGCUAACUAUUUCUUUUGUUCUUAGUCGUAGAAGUUUUAAGGGACAUAAUAAAUGUACUAAUCUUAAGACUUUAAGAGAAAACAAAAAGAACAAAACAAAAGAAAAAUAAUAUAGUUGGACUUGGAAGUAGGGGACCAUAGAAUGAUGUGGUCAAUUGUUAUAACACUCUUUAUGAGUCCAGGAAAAAACGUGCUUCCCCUAUAUCCAUAGAUGUGUAGGUUAUAUAUUACAGUAAAUAAUUACCCAUAUAUACUUUUGAUAUAUUUAAACGUAAUUUUCCGACUAUUAAGAUAUUUUUUUUUGUCAAAGCUGUUAGAGCAUGUUUAUUGAAGCAACCCCUAAAUAGAUUCUUAGUGAAUAUUUAAGUAUUAAAAUUAAGCUGAGAACUUUUGUUAAGAAACAACUAAUUUUAGUGCUACAAUGCUAGUUUUUUAAUUAAGGGUUCUUAAAAAAAAUUAUUAAACAUUGUUUACACCUAGUGUUGUUAGAUGUGAAUUAGCUCAAGAAGGUCAUAUGUUUUCUUCUUGUCUCAACACCUUGUUCUGUAAAUGUCCUAAGCACUUUUUUUCAAUUGUAGUGUACAAAGUAUCGAAAUUGAGGAGAUUUCAGAGAGUGGAAGUAUCUAUGUUCAGUCAGAUGGAGAACAUCUUGGAUUCCUACCUAGAAAGUUUCAGGUUUUACCAGGUGCCAUCGACAUGAUGAUCAGCUGAUUCAAAACCAGACAUACCAAGAAAAUGUAGAAGAAGAAGAGACAUCACAUUCAACUUUUGUUUGGUAUGUACUCUGUACUAUGUAGAGAUUCUUCUUUUCUUUUAUCUUAGAUUUGAUUCAUUGUUUUAAUACGAAUCAGAUAUGUGAUCGUGUUGUGUUCUGUUGGUACUUUUGUGUGGUCACCAUUAACCAAAACAACACACACAAAUAUACUUAUUAAAAUAAACUCGUCGUGUCCCAUAAUCAAUCACAUUUGAAGCCAAACAAUGGUAUCUUCACUUUCCUUUCAUUCCAUGCCAGCGUCAGCCCCAUCUACUCCGGAGAUGCUGUCCGUUCAACCUUCCGCCGUAAUCACCGCCAAUUUUUCUCAACUGGAGUGAGUUGCAGAGGACUCAGACAAGUAAAGGAUGUGAGCUGGAGAAUGUUCUACUCUAAAUCGCUUGGUACAGUUCAGAGCUGCUCGGAAUCGCUGCCUCCGCUUUCAGACCUCUGGCGCCUCUUCCUCCUUCUAAUACUACGACUGAUCAGGACUUUGAGAUUCCGGUUGAUUAUUCAGGACGAAAGCCACAGACGAGAUUCUUCAACGAGAAAGAUCGAGGAGAGCACCGAGUUCUUCGUCGACUUCAACUUUUCUUCUCCUCUCAAUAUCACAAAACCAAUACCCUAACUACACGUGUAUAACAAGAGUCGCUUCUUCCACGCCUUAGACACCUCGAUAAACAUGCUCUUAAGAUACUAUAGAAUUCAGAUCUUCCACACAAAAGAUACCAGAAGAAAUAGAUAUAAUAAUCUAUGUAUUGUUUACCGAUACGAUAUUGAAUGAUUGUUCCCUUCUUUAGUGCCUUAUAUUUUAGGGAUAUUUUCAAAACUGUGAGUUACUUUUGAGUUCCAAAAGCAUAGAUCAUUAUGUUCUUUUGCUUUCUUUCUUUCUUUUCAAAUGGUGUUUGUUUGUGCUCGAUCGACCAUGCCUUACUAUGCUAACAUCAAUGAGCUACCUGCCACAAACAACAAAGAUCAAUAUUCAAUAAGUCUUAGAUGAAUUUCUAUGCAAAAAAUAUGUAUCAACAACUAUUUAGUGAUUAGAUUAUUUUCUUUGUCAAACCAAAUGAAAUAUCUUUCUAUUGAUCUGUCAAGUCCGUAUUAUGUGUAUGUUAAACUUUUUGUUAGCCUUUUGUUAAAUGUGUGAGUGACUCGAGUGAUGGAGAUGAUAGUGACUCCGAUGACAAGAACAAAAAGAAAAGUGGCUGAGAAAAUCCGAAGGUGAAUGUUGUCGAGGUUAAGAGUUCAUUAUGCAUUUUUCUUUUCUUUUCUUUGUGUGUUUUUUGCUUUUUCAAAUUCCCUAAAGCUUCCUUAGAAGCUACAAAUGCUUGAUUUGGUGUGGUUUAAUAGAAGUUUUUUUAAUUCCCUAAAGCUUUUUAAAAGCUAAUGAUGUAGUGAAUCUUAGUCCUCGACAAAUUAAUAUUAAAAUGUUUUGUGGGGUUUCCUUAGAAGUUACACGCGUAAAUUACAUGCAUGCAUAAUAUUGAUAACAUUAAAAGUAACAUAAUGUAUUAUAAAACUAUUAAAUGACUAGUUUGCAUGAAAAACAAUAUAUAAAAUACAAAUAUUUAUAGGCUAAAAUUUCAUAUAAAUGGCAUAAAACAUAUCACAUAUACAUAAUAAAGUAAAAUUAGUAUAAUAAUAAACAAGCUAUGAGAAAUCUAGCUAAUUUAAUCAAGUUAUUUGAUUAAACCAAUUAGUAAUGCAAUUUAAUAGUUAAAAGAAGUGUGUUGACCAAAAAAAAAUAAUUAAAAUUGAAAGUGUCAAUGGAAAUUUGGUGAAUGGCAAAAAAUGAAAUAAAAGAGAUUAUGUGUAACCGUUGUACAGUUCUUUUUUCUUUCUUUUAUAUGUUCUUCUUUUAAAUUCCUUAAAGCUUCCUUAGAAGCUACCGUGUUUUGGUGUUCAUUAGUGCAAGUUUCUGAUGUUGUUGUUUUUAGUUUAAAUUCCAUAAAGCUUCCUUAGAAGCUACUGUGUUUUGGUGUUAAUUACUGCAAUUUUUAUGUUGUUGGUUAUGGUUAAAAUUUCCUAAAGCUUCUUUAGAAGCUACUGAUACAAUGAAUGAAUCUUUAAUCCAUGACAAAUUUAAUAUUAAAAUGUUCUCUGAAAUAUGAAUUUCUUAUCAUGGUGAUGCAAAGAUUACAAACAUUAGGUAAUACUACAAAAGUAAGAAGAGUUAGUUUAACUUAUAAUUAUUGAUGAACUUUUAGUCCUCAACAAUUUUCGUUUUGAAAUGAAGUGUAAAUAAGAAUUCUUAUCAACAUACUAUGAUGGAAAAGUUACAAAUGUUAAGUACCAUUACAAAAGAGAUUUAGCCCAACCUACAAAAGAGACUAUUUAUAAUUUCAUUUCUUUUCAAUUUCGUUCUUAUCUUCUCUUCCAUAAAUCAAAAGUUUCUAAAGAUUGUUGGCUCCUGAGUAGCUUACAUAACCUGGAAUCAUUUACAUGGUGAUGAUGACGGAAAAAUGGGAGGAGAUUGUUGCUACUUUGCUUGCUUUAGUAACGUUUAUGUUAUAAAAUUCCAGUGUGUUUGGUUUGUAUAUAUAGACACUAGUUUUUCUCUCAGUCCAUGUAAUAGUUGUUAUUAUCUAUCCACACUAAAACAAUGUCAUCGCAUUUACAUUGAGUUGGCACAUGACUAAGGUUUUAAACAGAAAAAUUAUUAGAUGGUUUUCAUAAGACUGGUAUAGUGACACCAAGUACAUAUAUUUAUGAUCGAUCAUACAUGUAAUCGCAAUUCAAUAAAUCUCAAACAACGAAGGGUGGGGAAGAUAUUUUUGUGCUCUUGAACCCAUCAUGUAACUUUUGGAAGAAAGAUAUACAUAUCAUCACUUUGUGUUCGAGCAUUUGCUACUGGAAAAAGACUGAAAAUUGCAUUCUUGCGGAGAUUUAGUAAGAAACUUUAACUCACCAUUAACAACCUGAUUAAUUAACCAUAUUUCAUAAUCAAUUAUUUUCAGUACAACCAACAUAAAUAUUUUUUGUUAAAAUAAAAAAGUGCAAAUCAACAAAAGAAGCAAUAAUAAGAACAAAAAGCAAAAUCCAACUAUUUCAAUUUUGGAUAACCAAAAAAAACGUAAACUCUCUCUCAAAAAAGGCGAUGCAGACGGUGAUUUAGGGUUUUCGAUGGUUUCUCGUCAAUGGGAUCCGGGCAUUAUCAUAGGGAUUUCGAUCGCUGCAGACAGUUAUCAUGGUGAUUCGAAAUAUGGCUCUCUUUCGAGGUUUUUGGGGUUCGAUCUAGGCAUCAACAGAGGGAUCUUUGGAGGAAUAAGGAAAGUUACGAUUAGGCUCUACUAGAAUUCGAUUUCGAAUGUAAUCAAUGUCGAAUCACGAAUAUACGAAGAGCCAGUUGUUAAGCCAUGGAGAGGAAACGAAGAGCGGUGAGAGUUCCCGGAAGAGACUGAAGAUCUCGGUGGCGCAUUUCGACAAUUCCGCGCUAAUCAAAACCUAUUCCAAAACUCUGAUUGGGAGGUGUAUGAACCCGGAGGAGCAAGACAUGAAGGCGUUGUUCUUAAACCUUCCAAAGAUCUGGAAGCUGGAGGAACGGGUUACUAGUACUGACUUGGGAUUUGGUAAAUUCCAAUUUGAUUUCAAAACGGAGGAAGACAUUGACGGGUUGUUGAAGCUGCAGCCUUUCCACUUCGACUAUUGGAUGCUCUCCUUGGCACGGUGGCAACCAAAGCAGUCGAAGCUCUUUCCUUCUGAUAUAACGUUUUGGAUUCGUAUCAUCGGAAUUCCGCUGGAGUUCAGGACGGUUCCCACUUUUGAAAGUAUUGGGAACGCUACUGGAAGAACAGUGGCAGUGGAUUUGGUUCAUAUGUGAAUCCAGGUUGUGAUUGAUGCGUUCCAAGAGCUAUGCUUCGAAACUACUGUGGAUUUCAAAGGAGGGGAGUUUUAUGAUGGUGAGGAGGUGGCGAUUUCUUUGCGAUAUGAAAAACUCUUUGGUUAUUGCCAGCUUUGUUCUAGCCUUUGUCAUAAGGAAGAGAAGUGUCCGCUAGAGAAGAAGAAUACAAAGGCUAGUCUGGAGAGAAGGCGGGAGAUCAGAGAAGGCAAUGGGGGAUGGUCAGAUGGGGUAAGACACGACGACAGAGCUAGGAGUUACAAAGGCGUGGUCAUCAAUGGUAAUGCGAGUCAACAGAACAAAGAACGAGAUGGGCGGGACUGUUAUGGGAAGGGCAAAGGGAAGAUGAGUGAAGCACAAGACUCUAAAUGGGUAAAGGAGAAAGGACACAGAAGAUAUCCUAAUUAUGGAUUCUUCAAAACAUUUUGAUGGAUUCUUCAAACAUCUCUAUCGUUCCUGUGUUAUGAAAUGUUGCCCCUUAAGGCAGAAGAAAAUAGCUGUGCAAGAACUCAAAAUGUAAAACAAAAUAUAAAAAAAAAUCAUGAGAAAAGCCAAUGGCGGCUUUGUUUCUUCUCA